CAGGCAGUUGCAGUGGUGCAGAAUGGCUGACCUCAGUCUUGCAGAUGCAUUAACAGAGCCAUCUCCAGAAAUUGAGGAAGAGAUAAAACGGGACUUUAUUGCCACGCUGGAGGCAGAGGCCUUUGAUGAUGUUGUGGGAGAAACUGUUGGAAAAACAGACUAUAUUCCGCUCCUGGAUGUUGAUGAAAAAACCGGGAGUUCGGAGUCAAAGAAGAAACCAUGCUCAGACACUCGCCAGGUUGAAGGUACUCCAUCUUCUCAAGCCACAGUGCUCGCCAACGGUGACCACGGAAUAGAACGGAAUGAUGUCACUGGGUUUCCAACUGAAUUCCUUGAAGAGACGAUGGCCUACCAGGGAUAUCAGAACAGCCAGAACUGGCCAGAAAAUACAAACUUUUGCUUUGAACCCGAGCAAAUGGUAAAUCCUAUCCAGACUGAUCCCUUUAAGAUGCACCAUGAUGAUGGCCUAGAAGAUUUGCUCUUUCCCCCCAGUGGAACAACCAAUACUUCAGCAUUUGUAGAACAAAAUGAUCCCCUGAAAGACAGUUAUGGUAUGUUACCCUGCGACACAUUUGCUCCUGCAGCUGUUGUUCCUCAGGGGUGGUCUGCGGAAGCCCCAAACCCUGCACACUUGGAAUCCUUCAUUUCCCCCGAGGCCGUUCCACAGCCUCUGCAGCCAACAGCAGAGCCAGCCGAGAAAGUAGAAAUGGCAUCAGGAGAAGAAAGAGCACCAGCAGAAUCAUUGGAGAUGAUGGUGAAUCUGCAGCCUGCUGACAUGGUGCCAUCUCGAGAAGCAGAGAUGGUCCCAGCUAAAGAUGUGGUGCCAGCCACAGAGACAGAGGUGGCAUUGGCUAAAGACGUGGAAUCACCUACCAAACCAGAUGAGGCAUUGGUCAAGGACGUGGAAUCAUCCAUCGAAUCAGAUAUGGCCUUAGUCAAGGAUGUGGUACUACCCGUACAAACAGAGGAAACCGCAGUUAAGGAUGUCAUAUUGCCCACAGAAACAGAUGUGUCUUUGGACAAGCACCUGGCACUGUCCACAGAAACAGAGGUAUCCGCAGCCCAGGACAUACUGCUGUUCAAAGAAACAGAGAGCACACCACCUGUUACCAUGGAUUUGGCCUCAGCUGAGGGCACAGUCCCACCUACAGACCAAGAGAUGGCCCCAGUGAAGGGUGCAGCAUCACUCUCAGAGAUAGACGCGCCCCUGGAUGAGGACAUUGUGUCAUCCACAGAAAUACGCUCAGCCAAAGAGAGAGCCCUGUCCUCAGAAACAGAGGUGGCCCUGAUCAGGGAAAUGGGACUGCCCCCAGAAACAGAGGCCGUUCUAGACAAGGACAUGGCUGCACCUCCAGAAACAGAAGUCAUCGUGCCAGUCAGAGACAUGGCUCCACCCCCGGGAAUAGAGAAGACCCUGGCCAAGGACGUGGCUCCACGUCAAGAAAUAGAGGUGACCCUGGGCAAGGAUACAGUUUCACUUCCAGAAACAGAGAUGGCCCUGGGCAGGAAUGUGGCUCUGCCCCCAGAAACAGAGGUAACCCUGGCAAAGGAUGUUGCUCAGCCCCCUGAAACGGAGGUGAACCUGGCCAACAAUGCAGCUCUGGCCAAAUUCUCAGAAGCAGAGGUGGUACCAGUUCCUGUUAAGGACAUGGAAACUGCAUGGACCCAGGAAGCAACAAGUGAGGAUUCCCAGUUAAAAUCUCUCCAGGAUGAGGGACAGUCAGCUGUACCUCCUCUUAUGACUUCACCAGAAGCAGUCGUGGCCAUGGGCCAAAAGCACAGCUUGCCAACAGAUGAGGAUUCUGUGUUAGAAGAACUAGAGCAAAAGAAACCAUCUAGUCAAACUUCUGAGCUUCCUUCAGAGACUUCAGGUACCCCUCCCACACAAGCCAAACCAGCGUGCAGACCCGGUGACCGCAGGUCCGCCCGGCCCACCCGGCCCAGGCCUGCCAGGGUCCCUCUCGAGCUGCUGGGAGGCUCUUCUCCACGGAAGACUCUUGAUCCUGGGCUGGGCCCCUGCCCUUUGUCCGAGCUGGGUUGGGUUUCUGGUUCGUCUUCCUAUGGUGAGCCUGGGAACCAGAGGAAAACUAUUCAUGGUGACUUCCUUGAACCGCAGAGGGAUCUUGGCAGGGAGGCCUGGGAUACAGAAAGCUCACCAAUGAUGAUGAAGAGAAAAAAGAAGAAACCAAAGCAGAAGAGGUAUUCUCAACCCCGGGCUGGGGGACCUUGGGAUGAUGACAAUGGAGAUGAGCCUAAAGGUUCUUCCUUUGCCACUGAGUCACAAAAGUCAGUUGUGCCCCCCAGCCAGCCCACCAGUGGGGGCACAGAACAUGGACUAGUGUCCAGAGAAGACUUGAAAGGGGGAUGUGAAACCGAUUCCAGAGAAGCCAAACUGGUGGUUGAGGGCGUUGUCUCAGACAGUCUAAGUAUUCUUUCACAUCCUUUGGAAGAAGCCCCGAAAACUCUGGUAAAUUCUCAGCCCAAACAGAGAGUUGAGGCACAGGUGAAAGGUAACAAGGCAGCACCACAGGGCCAGGACAAGAAACUGCUGCAAGAUGAGUGCAAACUGCAGGCUGCACCCCACCGCCAGACUCCUGCGGAUGACAGCCAGACACUCGGCUCCCUCAGUCUGAAAGGACCCCUGACAGAAGUUUCUUCACACAAAGUAGAAAUUCCUUUGGAGGUCCGACCCAAAGAGGGUUGCUCUCCCAUCAUGAACCAAGAGGCUGUGGGUGGAGUUUCAAAACCCAAUGCAGCCAAAGAACUGCCUGCUUCCAUAUCCACUUUGACAGCAGGUCAUCCAUUAGGAAACAGUCUAAAAGAAGGGAAUGAUGACAGUAAAAUGACUGAACUGCAGAAUGACAAACAGAAAGAGUUUUCUGAAGGAGCUGAAGAGGUUAAAGAACUAAAAAAGGAAAGUGUUCCCAGGCAAAGACAUGAGAACAGCAUCUCUGCUUCUGAGCAGCUGCAGGACACGGUGUUAGCUCAGGCCCCUGGACUAGGGAAUGAACCGUUGAAGAGAAUGGCAGGUGAAGGCAAAAGCAGGAAGGGAAGGACAGGUUCUGGGAAGGUGAGAGCAAGUUCUGGGAAGGUGAGAGCAAAGUCUGAGCCACCGUUCCUUGCAGAUAGCCAGGACAGCAGAGCUGUCUUUGUGCCAAGUGGGAGGAUGGCUACUGGGGAUAAAAGCGAGGAGGUGGGGCUGGAUUCUUCAAAGCAGCCAGGGACUGUGGCUGAGCUCCCUGAAGCAAUAGUGAUGGGGGAGCCUAAGGAGAUGACGGACCCUAGGGGGGCAGGCACUUUGCAGGCAUUGAUUCCUUUGGGAAAUGGGUCAGGCAUGAGUCAGGCUUCCAGUGCUAGAGCAGAAAGAGGCGCUGUAGCCACAGACAUGGGGGUCAGCAACCAGAGCAAGGAGGAAAAGUGUCCUUGGAUGGGUCAUGAGGCAGCUCCUUGGAUUUUUGAAAAGCCUAAAAAAAGAGUCAGUGAAGGCAAAACCAAAAAGUAUAAAAAUAAUUAUUCCACACAGCCUGCUAGAAUGGAGAGGAAGGAAGAAAUCCUUAACCCACCUUUUGUAAGGAAGGAUGGGGUUACUGGUAGUACUCCCCAUCAAAACAAGGAAUUAGAACCUACUGUCCCUUUGUUCUCAUGUAUAGCAGAUACACCCACAGUGGAAGUAGUUGACCAGAAGGGUAGAAAUGUUGAGGUUAAUUCUUUUGAACUUGAGGCUCUUGGUGGAAAUAAAACAAACACAGGCAAGGAUUCUCCUAUUACUGAACUGGCUUCCAAGAUGACAGGCGUGAGUUGCCAAGACCAAAUCCAGGGGGCAGGAUUUGUUCCUUCAGUCCUGGAUGAGGAGAAUAAGACAGAUGUGGCCAAAGGGCACACUGCAGUGGCUGACGAACCAAAUAAAAGGAGUAAUGAUGGAAAAAGCACAAAGACUAAAAAUAGUUUCCCUGAGAAGCACACUCCGGAGAAUAAGAUAGAUGCAACAAAAAUACAUGUUCCCAUGGAAACCAUAGGGGACCACAGAAUUGAAGGAAUGGGCUAUGUGGACGAAAAUAGCAAUAUUACAUUUACCUGCCCUAGAACUCCACCAGGGUUGAUGAAUAAGUCAGUCCCCCUAGAGGCUCAGGAAUCAGUAGCCUGUGAAAAACCACCCACUUCUGCUUCUCAAGUAGUAAAGGAAAGUGAUUCAUUUCCAGGCACCUUGACAGAAAGUAAGCAAGAGACAGCUUCAGCCCAGAUUCCCAAAUUGUUAGAGGUAGAUAGUUACAGCAAAGAUGGAGUCUCAAAGGAACAAAGAUCCAAGGGUCCCUCAGCUAUUAUGCCCUCUAUGAGCACAGGAGGAGUUGCCUCAACUCUGACAAGAGCCAUAGAAACAGUUAGCAAUCAUUCUAACUGCCUGCAGCAUAAAGGUGAGCUUGCUGGUGCCGUGAAAGAUGAAGCAGGCAGAGAUGGAGAGCAUGUGAUAGGAGACUCUGAGUCCAUGCCCAGUGGUGCAUCAGAGCACUCAGUAGAGAAACCCACAGAGCCGGCGGCAGGGGGACACCUUCUUUCUGGAGUGCUGAUAAACGAACCCAGCCUGGCAGGUGAGGUCAGACGCCUAGAACCAUUUGCAGAUAGGAGUAAUUUCCCAACAUGUCCAGUAAACAAAGCGUCUGAGCAAGGUUCUGCUCCAGUUUCAAUUCCUCACCUACUGGGAGACAAAGCACAAAAGCCCAGUUACUGUGAGGACCAAAGUACUGAAGGUAGAGAUUCCAAGGGCCCAGAUAAUUUGAAUAAGGAGGUAGAUAUGACUCUCUCGCUUCCAGAAAGUGAAAAGGAUAAAAAGGAUAAAUUGGAGGAAAUCAGUCUGGAUUCUGACAUCAGAGAAAUGGCAUAUGUUUCCUUGGCACCACCAGAACUCCAAUCAGAUGUCUUAGAUGGCAAAAUUGAAGUGACUUCUUCAACAAUGAUAGAUGAGUUAGUAAUAACUGCUUCUGAAGCUCCUCAACUCCCAGAAUCCAAAGGCAAGAUCUUGGAGGCACCUAAGAAAAUGACAGAAAAAUCUGAAUCAAAGGCACUGGGAGAAGGGAAGAAGGAAGAUAAAAGCAGAGCGGCCGAACCCAUGAAAGGCUACAUGAGACCUACCAAGUCCCGAGGACUGACUCCACUUUUACCAAAAUCUACCAUCCAGGAGCGAGAGCGAUCCAAGCAGCUCAAGUCCAGUGGAAUAGCCAAGCCAGAAGAAGGACAACCUGCCGGAAGCGUGUCUGGAAAUGACAUCACCGCCCCUCCAAACAAGGAGCUCCCACCAAGCCCAGAGAAGAAAACAAAGCCUUUGGCCACCACUCAACCUGCAAAGACUUCAACAUCGAAAGCCAAAACACAGCCCACUUCUCUCCCUAAGCAGACAGCUCCCACCACCUUUGGUGGGUCGAAUAAAAAACCCAUGAGCCUUGCUUCAGGCUCAGUACCAGCUGCCCCACCCAAACGCCCUGCUGCUGCCACUGCCAGGCCUUCCACCUUACCUUCAAAAGACACGAAGCCCAAGCCUGUUGCAGAGGCAAAGAUUCCUGAGAAGCGGGUCUCUCCAUCCAAGCCGGCCUCUGCCCCAGCUGUCAAACCUGGCUCCAAGAGCACCCAGGCUGUUCCCAAAGCCCCAGCAACUGCGGCUCUUGCUUCACCUGGGUCAACCAGUAGGAACCUGUCCACACCCUUGCCCAAGAGGCCCACUGCAGUCAAGACUGAGGGGAAACCUGCAGAGAUCAAGAAGAUGGCUACAAAGUCUGCACCAGCUGACUUGAGUCGCCCAAAGAGCACCACCACAAGUUCUGUGAAGAAGAGCACCGCUGUCCCUGGGACAGCACCCCCAGCAGGGGCUCCCAGCAGAGCCAAGCCCACAGCCACGCCUCCCAGGCCCUCCGGGACUCCUCCCGCGGACAAGAAGCCCACAGCAGCCAAGCCCAGCUCCUCUGCCCCGAGGCUGGGCCGCGUGGCUCCCAAUGCUUCUGCCCCUGAUCUGAAAAAUGUCCGCUCCAAGGUCGGCUCCACCGAAAACAUCAAGCACCAGCCUGGAGGAGGCCGGGUCCAGAUAGUCUCCAAAAAAGUGAGCUACAGCCAUAUUCAGUCCAAGUGUGGUUCCAAGGACAAUAUUAAGCAUGUCCCUGGAGGUGGUAAUGUUCAGAUUCAGAACAAGAAGGUAGACAUCUCUAAGGUCUCCUCCAAGUGUGGGUCGAAGGCUAACAUCAAGCACAAGCCUGGUGGAGGAGAUGUCAAGAUCGAAAGUCAGAAGCUGAACUUCAAAGAAAAGGCCCAGGCAAAGGUGGGAUCCCUCGAUAACGUGGGCCACCUGCCUGCAGGAGGUGCCGUGAAGACUGAGGGCGGUGGCAGCGAGGCCCCUCCGUGUCCAGGCCCCCCUGCUGGGGAGGAGCUGGCCAUCCCUGAGGCAGCGCCUGAAGCUGGCGCCCCCACUUCAGCCAGUGGCCUCAGUGGCCACACCGCCCUGGCAGGGGGUGGUGACCAAAGGGAGGCCCAGACCUUGGACAGCCAGAUCCAGGAGACAAGUAAGUGGCUGGGCUUGGCCUGA
rnacentral:lncRNA from 1 species